AACUGAGAAGGGGAAAAGAGAGAAAAUAAUUACAAACUAAUAAAAAUUUAUUGUUUAUCCUCAAAUUAGGAACUUCUUUUAUAUGGUAUGCUCCUUAAUCCAUGUGAGAAAGAAAGGAAAGUUUAUCUUCCAAACAAAUAAUAAUAGUACUGGUUCCUUUUUGAGAAGAGCCAGAAAGCGACUUUGCUUAGACACUAAAGAAGAAGUAUCAGUGGUUUUUCUAAUUUCCACUGGGGAAAAAUGUAAGAAAUGUUUUGAGUUAAAAGAAGACUAUUUCAUCCUAUCUGGACAGUGGUCCAAUAGAGACAAAGAGAGAUGACUAAUACUGCAUAGGAAUAUAGUAGAAUGAAGUAUAUGGACACUUUGGGAAAUUAAAAUAAUUCCAUAACACAGCUAGGGCACUCAAGUGCAG
rnacentral:lncRNA from 1 species